UACGUAGGGUGCAAGCGUUGUCCGGAAUUAUUGGGCGUAAAGAGCCCGUAGGCGGUUUGUCGCGUCGAAUGUGAAAACCCGGGGCUCAACCCCGGGCCUGCAUUCGAUACGGGCAGACUAGAGUUCGGUAGGGGAGACUGGAAUUCCUGGUGUAGCGGUGAAAUGCGCAGAUAUCAGGAGGAACACCGGUGGCGAAGGCGGGACUCUGGGCCGAUACUGACGCUGAGGAGCGAAAGCGUGGGGAGCAAACAGG
rnacentral:rRNA from 1 species